rnacentral:rRNA from 1 species
GACGAACGCUGGCGGCGUGCUUUAUACAUGCAAGUCAAGGAGAACCUAUUCUUCGGAAUACUAUUAAACUGGCGAACGGGUGAGUAACACGUAGGUAACCUGCCCUAGAGACUGGGACAACUUCGGGAAACUGGAGCUAAUACCAGAUAAUGCAGCGGAUCCUUCGGGGUACAGUUGUUAAAGCGGGCUUCGGCUCGCACUUUAGGAUGGGCCUGCGUCCGAUUAGCUUGUUGGUAGGGUAAUGGCCUACCAAGGCGAUGAUCGGUAGCUGGUCUGAGAGGAUGAUCAGCCACACUGGGAUUGAGAUACGGCCCAGACCUCUACGGGGGGCAGCAGUAGGGAAUUUUGCGCAAUGGGCGAAAGCCUGACGCAGCAACGCCGCGUGAUCGAUGAAGCUUCUAGGAGCGUAAAGAUCUGUCGUGAGAGAAGAAAAGUUCGGAGGUAAAUAAUUUUCGUUCUUGACGGUAUUUCACAAGAAAGCACCGGCUAACUUCGUGCCAGCCGCCGCCGUAACAC